rnacentral:rRNA from 1 species
UACGUAGGGUGCGAGCGUUGUCCGGAAUUAUUGGGCGUAAAGGGCUCGUAGGCGGUCUGUUGCGUCGGGAGUGAAAACUCAGGGCUUAACCCUGAGCCUGCUUCCGAUACGGGCAGACUAGAGGUAUGCAGGGGAGAACGGAAUUCCUGGUGUAGCGGUGAAAUGCGCAGAUAUCAGGAGGAACACCGGUGGCGAAGGCGGUUCUCUGGACCGAGACUGACGCUGAGGCGCGAAAGCGUGGGGAGCAAACAGG